rnacentral:rRNA from 1 species
UGGGGAAUUUUGGACAAUGGGCGAAAGCCUGAUCCAGCCAUGCCGCGUGAGUGAAGAAGGCCUUCGGGUUGUAAAGCUCUUUUAGUCGGAAUGAAAGAGUUGCAAUGAAUAAUUGUGAUUUAUGACGGUACCGACAGAAAAAGCACCGGCUAACUACGUGCCAGCAGCCGCGGUAAUACGUAGGGUGCGAGCGUUAAUCGGAAUUACUGGGCGUAAAGGGUGCGCAGGCGGUCUUGCAAGUCAGAUGUGAAAGCCCCGGGCUUAACCUGGGAAUUGCGUUUGAAACUACAAGACUAGAGUGCAGCAGAGGGGAGUGGAAUUCCAUGUGUAGCAGUGAAAUGCGUAGAGAUGUGGAAGAACACCGAUGGCGAAGGCAGCUCCCUGGGUUGACACUGACGCUCAUGCACGAAAGCGUGGGGAGCAAACA